rnacentral:rRNA from 1 species
GUGGGGAAUAUUGGACAAUGGGCGCAAGCCUGAUCCAGCCAUGCCGCGUGAGUGAUGAAGGCCUUAGGGUUGUAAAGCUCUUUCAGUAGGGAAGAUAAUGACGGUACCUACAGAAGAAGCCCCGGCUAACUUCGUGCCAGCAGCCGCGGUAAUACGAAGGGGGCUAGCGUUGUUCGGCUUUACUGGGCGUAAAGCGCACGUAGGCGGAUUGGUCAGUUAGAGGUGAAAUCCCGAAGCUCAACUUCGGAACUGCCUUUAAUACUGCCAGUCUCGAGUCCGGAAGAGGUGAGUGGAACUCCUAGUGUAGAGGUGGAAUUCGUAGAUAUUAGGAAGAACACCAGUGGCGAAGGCGGCUCACUGGUCCGGUACUGACGCUGAGGUGCGAAAGCGUGGGGAGCAAACAGGAUUAGAAACCCCUGUAGUCC